UUUCUCUGCAGACGCCUUCUGGCAAGAGGGGAGAGCCUCUGGAACAGUGUACAGUGGGGAGGAGAAGCUCACUGAGCUCCUUGUGAAGGCUUAUGGAGAUUUUGCAUGGAGUAACCCCCUGCAUCCAGAUAUCUUCCCAGGACUACGCAAGAUAGAGGCAGAAAUUGUGAGGAUAGCUUGUUCCCUGUUCAAUGGGGGACCAGAUUCGUGUGGAUGUGUGACUUCUGGGGGAACAGAAAGCAUACUGAUGGCCUGCAAAGCAUAUCGGGAUCUGGCCUUUGAGAAGGGGAUCAAAACUCCAGAAAUUGUGGCUCCCCAAAGUGCCCAUGCUGCAUUUAACAAAGCAGCCAGUUACUUUGGGAUGAAGAUUGUGCGGGUCCCAUUGACGAAGAUGAUGGAGGUGGAUGUGCGGGUGAGUCCCUCUGGAGGGCCCACUGUCUGUGCUGGGCUCUGACAGCAGAAGGGUCCUCUUGUUGACUAGCUGUUUCCAGUCAGAUGGGUCUGACUGCCUUUGAUUGUGGCAGCCAGAAUAUGAAAAACU
rnacentral:sRNA from 1 species